AUGGCGGCGGCGCUGCUGACGCCGACGCAGCGCUACGCCGCGGGGGCGCUGCUGGCGCUCGCGCUCCGCCAGGCGCAGAUCCACCAGUCCGUCCUCCUCGGCUCCUCCCCCGCCACCGCCGCCGCGGACGAGGAGGAGCGCGUCAGCAGCGCCAGCGGCGGCAGCGGCAGCGGCAGCAGCAGCUCCACCGGCGGCAGCGGGGAGGACGCCGAAGCCGCCGCCAAGGCGCUCUGGACGCACGACUCCCGCGGCCUCCUCCGCCCCGUCUUCAGGUUCCUGGAGAUCGACCCGGCGGCGUGGCCGGGGCUGGAGGAGACGGCGGCGUCGCCGGAGGCCAAGCACCACAUCGGCGCGUUUCUGAGGAUGAUCUUCCAACAAGACGGCGAGAGCUCUUCGGAUAGCCAGGACCAGGAACACGCCUUGGCCAAAGGAGUUGAUGCCAUGGUGAUGAGCUUGAGCAGUGACACUGCAAAGGAUGAAACAACCAAAGAGGGUGAUCCUCAGAGAAAGGCUUCUACUAGUUCUGGCAUGGCUGAAUCCUCAGAGAAAGGCUUCCCCGCUGAGGACUUGCUGGGAAUCGAUAACUUGUCCCUGGAUGAUGUGCCUGCUACCCAUCACCGGAAGAUGACGCUGCUGUUUACGCUCCUCUCUGCCUGUGUGGCUGAUAAGCCCGUAUCGCAAGAGGAAGACGACAGGAAGUCCUCUCACUUCAGGAAGGGCUACGACGCCCGGCAUCGGGUCGCCCUUCGGUUGCUGGCAACUUGGCUUGAUGUGAAGUGGGUCAAAAUGGAAGCCAUCGAGGUUAUGGUCGCAUGCUCUGCUAUGGCAGCAGCAAAAGAACAAGAACAGUCAGGAGAGAACGCAACACCCAAAAGCAAAUGGGCGAAAUGGAAGCGUGGAGGAAUCAUCGGUGCAGCUGCAUUGACCGGAGGAGCAUUACUGGCUAUUACUGGGGGUUUAGCUGCUCCAGCAAUUGCUGCAGGAUUUGGUGCUCUUGCUCCAACGCUAGGAACAAUUAUACCUGUUAUCGGAGCUAGUGGAUUUGCUGCUAUGGCUACUGCUGCGGGAUCUGUUGCUGGCUCUGUGGCCGUGGCUGCAUCAUUUGGGGCUGCUGGAGCUGGCUUGACGGGCACCAAAAUGGCCAGAAGGAUUGGAAGUGUAAAAGAAUUUGAGUUCAAACCGAUUGGUGAGAACCAUAAUCAGGGUCGUCUUGCGGUUGGCAUCUUGGUUUCUGGAUUUGCUUUUGAUGAGGAGGACUACAUUAGACCUUGGGAAGGAUGGAAGGAUAACCUAGAAAGGUAUAUUCUUCAGUGGGAGUCUAAGCAUAUAAUUGCUGUGAGUACAGCAAUACAAGAUUGGCUGACAUCAAGACUUGCUUUGGAACUGAUGAAGCAAGGCGCGAUGAGAACAGUCCUAAGUGGCUUUCUGGCAGCAUUUGCAUGGCCUGCUACUCUGCUUGCAGCUACGGAUUUUAUCGAUAGUAAAUGGUCCGUUGCUAUCGACAGAUCAGACAAGGCAGGGAAAAUGCUUGCUGAAGUACUUAUGAAGGGGUCCCAAGGGAACAGGCCUGUUACCCUCGUUGGGUUUUCACUAGGGGCUCGUGUCAUAUUCAAGUGUUUACAGGAGCUUGCUUUGUCAAGCGACAAUGAGGGACUCGUCGAGAGGGUCGUGCUCCUAGGUGCACCUGUUUCAGUCAAAGGCGAGAAAUGGGAACCCGCUAGGAAGAUGGUUGCUGCAAGGUUUGUGAACGUGUACUCGAAAGAUGACUGGAUUCUGGGCGUCACCUUCCGUGCAAGCCUGCUCACGCAAGGAUUGGCUGGGAUACAGGCCGUCGAUAUCCCUGGCGUCGAAAACGUUGAUGUUACCGAGCUUGUGGAUGGGCAUUCUUCGUACCUGUCGGCGGCGCAGCUGAUCCUGAAGCACCUGGAACUAAACACCUACUAUCCUGUCUUCGUCCCACUAACAGCGGCAGUUAGCAAGUAG
rnacentral:rRNA from 1 species